GACUUUCCUGUGCAGGUCGAUGAGGGGCUCCUCGCCCGUCGGCCGGCCCUCCUUCUCUCUCUGCGCCAUGAUCAUGGCCCGCAGGAGAGAGGAAAAUAACAGAAUGCACACUCUGAAUGUAAAACGAAGCAGAAUGCAGUAUCACUGCCCACCACCUCCACAGGGCACAAGUGAGGCUUCCUGAUGUUGUGAUAUUCCUCUCACAUCGCGUUCAGCUCUGGAAGUUAAUAAUAGCUCUUUGAUGGGACAGAAGUUACAGGACCAGUGAGACCCCCGAUGACUCCCAAGUUACGAACGUUCUUCAGGAUGCACAGCCUUUGCUGACUGAAGUUAACUGAAGCGAAACCAUCUUUCAGGGGUUGGCGGCUACUGAGAUGCCCUCGCCAAAUGCAAUUAUUUGUUUGCAAUACGAAUUUACAGAGUUCUUUUUAUGCUCAAUAAUGGGGCCUGGUUGCAUUCUGUAAUUUUCUAUCUUAUCUAUCUAUUUCUUUCAAUCUUAGGUUCUCCCGUGCAGUUCUGGUACAAUAUUUGUUUUUAAAAAGCCUAUCAUUUGUCCUGGUUCAUACAUUUCCCCCAAGUCACAAGCUGCUGAUGACUUAAUAGAUGUUAAAAACCGGGGCGUCAUAGCUCAUGAGGACUAGACCUGGGAGCAUUACAUUAAACACCUGAACAGUAAAAUUAAACAUCAGUGCUCUAUCUCUGCCUACACUGUACUCCGUGGUAUUUACGCAAAACAAAAUCUACUUGUGUCAGCGGUGGGAUCGCUGUCUGUCACCCAU